rnacentral:lncRNA from 1 species
UGGUGUGUCAAUGUGUCAUUGGACAUCAACAGAUUAAAGAAUAAGCACAAAAAUCAUGUGGUAAAGUAGUUACUUACCAACUUAGAAGAUUCAGAUUCAAUUCCAAGUCACGCAUCUUUAAUUUUUCAGGAGAGAUCUAGGUCCAGACCCAGCUAAUUAACUAAAACUAACCCAGUAAACCUAUAAAGCAUGUGUACUUAUAAUAAAUGAAUGAAAUUAUAAGAAAAAUACAUUUGUCUGAGAAUUAUAGUUUUAUCUACUACGACUGUGUGUUUUUGUGUUUAGUCAGGGAAUCAGUACAGAUUUACAUUAAUCAGGCUAUUUGUGUGUUCCUAAAAGUUCUGGCCAAAUUUAAAUUUCACCAGACCUUUCAGGAACAUCCUGUACACAUUUUCAAUAUCUUAUUAACCUAUCGGUAAACCAAAUAUCCAACCAAAGCACAAACUCCCCCUGGUGAUUAAUUUUGGAAGGAACUGCUGAUUAAUAUUUAUUUUUAGAUUUGUGCUACGGUG